AGAGUUUGAUCCUGGCUCAGAAUCAACGCUGGCGGCGUGCCUAACACAUGCAAGUCGAACGAGAAAGUGGAGCAAUCCAUGAGUAAAGUGGCGACCGGGUGAGUAACACGUGACUAACCUACCUUUCAGUGGGGGAUAACCUCGGGAAACCGAGGCUAAUACCGCAUAACAUCGCAAGAUCAAAGCAGCAAUGCGCUGGAAGAGGGGGUCGCGGCUGAUUAGCUAGUUGGCGGGGUAACGGCCCACCAAGGCGAAGAUCGGUAUCCGGCCUGAGAGGGCGCACGGACACACUGGAACUGAAACACGGUCCAGACUCCUACGGGAGGCAGCAGUGGGGAAUUUUGCACAAUGGGGGAAACCCUGACGCAGCAACGCCGCGUGGAGGAUGAAGCCCCUUGGGGCGUAAACUCCUUUCGACCAAGACGAUAAUGACGGUACUGGUGGAAGAAGCACCGGCUAACUCUGUGCCAGCAGCCGCGGUAAUACAGAGGGUGCGAGCGUUGUUCGGAAUUAUUGGGCGUAAAGGGCGCGUAGGCG
rnacentral:rRNA from 1 species